AUCCGUUUUCUCUCUUCUCUUUUACCAAUUUUUUUUCAUUGAUGUCCCGAUCUUCCUUUGUGUUGGUUUCGCUGAUUUUUAUUCUAAAUAGGAGUCUGGGUUUUGGGUUUUUUGCCUUUGUUUUUGUUCUGAGUUUCCAACCGUGGAAUUGAUUGUAGGCUAUGUAGAAAUGUAAUGGUAAGAACCCUCUUCUCAUUCUUUCUUCUUUUCAUGAUCAGAGUAAUCGGCAAAAGAAGAAGAGGUUUUAUUUUCAGCAAAAGCAAGAUAAGAAUGGGGUUCACUUGAUUUGAUGGCUUCAAUUGCAUGAUGGCUGUUUUCAUUUUUUUUUUUUUUUUAUUAUGAACAGACAUAAUGUUUAACCUUAUACUUCAAUACAUUAUUUGCGGGUGAAGCUAUUUGGUUGGUAUGGAUUGCUAUUGAUCUUUCUUCUGUUAACUAAAGCUAAUCUGAUUCAACUCUUAAUGUAUGCGAUUUGGUUUCCUUCUGCAGCCUGGGUUUUAACUUUUCAACAGUUCCAAGAUCCAAAUCAUUUAGUAAAUUGUCAUUGGUUUCCAUUAGUAAAAUAUUUUCUCCUGCUGAUAAGUGAUAAGAUUGUGAGUUUGUGAUGACGUGAGCGGUUCAUUACAAGUACUAUAUACUUUAAAGUUACCAACUGAUGUAUGAAUAUGACCAAAGAACAGAUUAGAUUGGUACUUAUUUCUCCAUUGUUUUCUUAGUCCAUUGUUUUCUUCUGCAGCAUUGAUUGUAAUUAGUAAUUAUUAUAUUAUCUAAAGAAACUAAUUCAUAUGGUCGUUUCAAAUAUAGAAUGCAGGAAGUUUUUCUUACUUGGUUUCCAUAACGACAUGUUAGUCUUCACUGUUGUUGUCCUAUUUAUGUUUUAUGAUUUCUUGAUAUCUAAGCUAUAAAGUUAUUAAAACCAAACUUCACAAAUCAAUGGAGAUGGGUUCUGUUAUACCUUUUUAUGUAUGUGGAAUGCAGCUUUCUUCUGAAGCUUAAAUUCUUCGUCUGACAUUUCCAUUUGCUUUAUUGUGCAGACCACAGUAAAGUUUAGUUGAUUAACCGAUCAGUAAGAAGAAAAAGGCCUAGGUUUUUGGUGUAUUGUGGUCACUAAGUUUGCUGCAGGUAGAUUUAGUUCAAUUUAGUUAGUUUUCUUUAUUUUUUAUCAUUUAAGUUCUGGACAAAUUAAUCAUUGGGAGAAGAGAUUUAAUUAGUACUAGAAGAUGCAUUUAUGAUCGAUGAUAUCACUGAAAUGGUUCAUGCAUUAUGGUCCCGUCUUGAAUUAUUUGGUGGAGGCGUCAAGUUCAACAGUGUAUGCUUUAUUAUUUUAGUAGAGUAGUUCUUAUUUUAAUCAUCUAUUGUUUUCUUUGCUCUGUUGAUAAGCAGCAAGGCAGUUGGAAUUCCUCAAAGGCAGGAGUUAUUCUACUCAUCAUCAAUCUACUCAUUAUAAACGCCCUCAUUCCAAUAACAGUAUAAACACGAUCUUUUGCAGGAUUGUAUAAUGCUUGCAACUAAUUUCUCAGCUUCACCCUCCUGCUCACAACAUACAGCAGCUGUCUGAGACUUCUGAUACACCAAGUUUGAUACCAGUUUAUUCAUUGUAAUCAAAACAUUACAAAAUCAAUAAUAUUAUCAUUAUGUAUAAAAAUACAAUAUAGACGGAUCAAAUCCCGCUGUAAAGCGCGGGCAAAUCUUGCUAGUUCAUUUAC